CGGCGCCCGCCAUCUUGGCAGGGAGGCCGGGGCCCGCGCCUUCGCUCCCUGUGCCCCUCAGGGUCAUGGAGAGCCGGAUCUGAGGGAAUAGGGUUGUUCUAUCGCACGGCAAACCCUAGCGGAAAAAGGUGGCCAUUUCCAUAAGAAGUCACCUCCCUGCCACAGGCCAAGUGCUACUUUCCCACUGGAGAACCUUCAGUCCCUGCUGGUGCAGGGCCCAGAAGGUGGAAGAAGAAAGGACAGCUGAAGGUGGUUGGGUUAUGUGGGCUCCCAGGGCAGCAUCUCCAUCUGUCACUGCGUGAGGCAGAUUGUUGCCUGGCUGGAGCACUGGUCUCAUCCAGUAUUUUGGCAACACUCCAUUGAUCUAGUAGAUGUUACUACUAAGUAUUUUUAGCAGUGCCCUGAAAUAUCUGGAAUUAAACAGCUGGUGUAGGGUAAGGUUUUGCCACCACCAAAACCCCUCAGGCAGAGGUGGAUGAGCUGUUACAUUUGUGUUAAACCAGGGGACCAAGUGAGAGUCUCCUGUGAUCUCGUGUGCUUGCACAAGGACUGGAUGGUGAUCGACCUUGGUGCCUGAUAAAGAAGAUGACCAUAAAUGCGAUGCCACUUCUGGCCAGCCACUGCCCUCGUAAGCUGUGCAGAAGGCAGCGUGUUUGCAGUGGAAGAUCUGCCACUGGAUGUCCAGCUUCCUCCUUCCACCUGCUCUCUGCCAGGGACUCGCCAUUGUAACACGACUGUGCCUGCAAAAUCAGUAUGAAAAAAUAAAGCUGUCUGGAGCACUCCUAAGAUUCAUUUAAAACAACCUGAAUAAAAUUAUUUAAGAUUCAGAAAGUGAUUUAGAGGCCUGGGAAAUUACCAAAUUAAGUAUUUUCUUGGCACAAACCUCUGCUGCUGUUUAGAGUACAACUUCUGUAAUGCCUGCCGUUGUGUUGUUAAAUGUUACAGUACUGGGUAUUUUUGUAGGAUUGAAAGGGCAUCCUUCUGGUUUUUUUUAUGGAUGGAAGAAUAAUUAUAUCCCAUGACAAAAGCUGAGGAAGAAGAGCAGCUGUUCAGUCUUAUCCAGUGGGAACUGUCAGAGCAUAUGGGUCUAUUUUUCCAAUUUUAGCUGAAGUACUGAAGGAAAUUGGCAUUCUUGAUUCCUUCUAACAUGAAAUAGAGCAGAAAGAAACCCUCCUUAAUGCAGGCCAUGGUUAAAUAAUGAAUUUUAUCCAUUUCAAGUAGGUUCAAAGAGAAAGCAAGCAGAAUACUUAGACAACAAAAUAGACAAAAAACAGGAGAAUUCUGGAAGUUAUUUUCUUAUAAAACUGGGUGUCUUUCUCCACAGUUACUUCCUCCUCGAGCCUGCCUGCUGGCAGGAGUUUUUGAUAUAAAAGCACAGGAUACAAUCUGUGCUGUUCCUUACAAUCCUGUCCCCACUACCCUCUCUCUAUUCUAAGAAACAGAUAUUUGAUGUCAUGUGUUUGUGUAAUCAGACCUAACCGUCAGAGUUCAACCCCAAAUUAAAAAUUUACUUCUAUGUUGAUUUCACAAAUUCCCUGCAAAGAUUUUUAAAGUGAGAUGAACUCGUCAAUGUGAGACACAACUGAAAAAUUCCACAUAUUUAAAACUGGUUGGCAUUGAGAGUUCGGUGAAAAACCACACAACCAACCAUAAAAAGAAAACAAACAGGCUGUGGGAUGAAAAGGACACACUGCCCCAGCUAUUAAAAUCUGGAAAAGAAUAAGUUACACUGUACCAAGUAACAGCCUUCCCUGUAUCUUUAGUUCAAUAAAUUCUGAUGUUUACUCUAUGGGGUAACUGUUGUUAGACAACAAGAAAAUACAGACAUUUAUCUCCCUUCUUAAAAAAAAUUAGUAAUCGAUGGGUAGUGGAGGUUUUUCUGGUUUUUUGGUGUUUUUUUUCUGUUGACUAAGAUGAAAGAAAGAUUCUGUUUGGGUUAGAAAAGAGGAAAACUGACAUUAAAAAUCACUUUGUCACAAUGAAUUGUCUUUGUUCAUGCUACAGAACUCUCCAGUCAUGCUGGUGGAAACCAGGCAUUUCAGCUCCCCUCACACCAGGGUCUAAAAUGGACUCUGAAGAGAUUCCUUCCUGUGAGACAAUGGUGACCUCUGUUGUUCCCUGCUGCUGGUACCAGCCACCGUGCCUUCUGGCCUCCUGUCACACCCUGGUUCAGUAAGGCACUUUGAAAUGAGCUGGCACUUACCAAGGGAGUACGUGCCCAAGUGUUGCAUCCUAGUUUCUGGCCAGGAAAGGAUGUGUCUAUUCUGCACUCCACUUGGGAAAUUUUCCCUUGAGGCUUUCCUCUCAAGAAGCCCCCAGUCUGGCUACCAGGUUUUCCAGCUCAUAGCUGUGAAUCACUGCUGGGAAGAGCAGUUGAAAACGUUUUAAACCACAGUGUUAAUUAUAACACCUGCAAUGUAUUAUGAGAAAAAGCUGCAGGUAUGAUUAUUAGAGAAAGAAGUUGGAAGAAAGAAGAUUUCAUUCUAAAUUAAUGAAGAUUCCAUUUCUAAAACUGAAGCUUAGAUUUUAACAAGGUGUUAGGUUUCAUGAAUCUUUGUCCCACCCUAAAAAAAAAUUGGCAUGCUUUCCCACUUCAGUUACCCAGACUUUGUAAUUCCAAGGAUAUUUUCCUUAGCGCAAGAGAAACUUCAGUAAUAUUUUCUUUUUUUUACCUCUUUAAGUUAGUGACAUGAGGAUAUGAGCUGACGUAGUUUGGAAACCGACCUCUCUCUCUCCUGGCAACAUUUCCCCCGCAAAGUUCCCUGCUUUUUCCUUGUGUUUCUUCAGACUGAUGUUCUCCUCCAUAAUGGAGAAAAAUAAAUGGAAAGAAAUCCAUUUUUGACCCCCUAUAGCUAUCAGUGGCUAAAAAAAAUGGGGAACAAAAUUUAUGUCAACCACAAGAUUUGUAUUCAACUCUGAGCUUGUAAUUCUGUUGGCUGUUCUGGAAUGCCUCACAGAGAGAGAAUAUUUUUAAACCAAAAUUGGCUUCCAACUCCUCUAGAAAUAAUUUUUGGCUUUUUUGAUGCCAUCAAACCUACAGUGGGUUUGGAUGUUGUGAUUAAUUUUCCUAUAAAUUUAGAAAUACAUCAAAAGUAGGAAGAGGAGGGAGUCAGAAAAUACUUUGGUGUGACUAAGAACAUCUCCUGAACAUGGGCAGCAAGAAGGAAAAGUUUUGCUCAGGUUUACUCAUGAUGAUAGCCUGUGAAGAACUGAGCACUGCACUGUUUCCUUUCAGGUGAGUGCCAGUAGGGAUCUAGAGGAGCAAGGGGGAAAGGCUCUUCCUUUCUGCCUUUUCUAAAAAUGGGUGCAGGGUUUCCUUUUCCCAGUCACCUGGGACUUCACCUGAUGGGUUUUUUUUACUGAAAGAGGGGAGCAAUUUCACAAGUACCUUCAAUGGCACAAUGCAAAAGUCAUACAAUAGUUAACAGAAGUUCCUAAUGCCCUUAGAUAUACCCUUGUUAAUGCUCAUUUUUGCCUCAGAACCAAGAAAUACCACUUUACAAUGUAUAAAUCUAUAUGUAUGUCGAUCCUUGUUAACAGGCAGAAAAUACAUAUCAGCAGAGUGAUAAAUCUGUUCCCCAGGGUACAGAGCAACCAUAAAAAAGAAAUGAAAAAUAAUAAAUUCAAAGUAUUUACAGCAGAUGGAGCUAUACAUUUUGCUUUGAUCGUAUGUUAUGUGAUAUUCCAAGAUAAAGUGUAGUUUGCCAAGGACUGUGGUAAGCCAGUGGUACUGUCUCACCAAGGAAUGGAGUUAGUCACAGAAGGCAUUUCAUAAAUUGCUGCAAUUAGCUCUCCUGGAAAUAAUCCUUGUAACAUCAGUAGAAAUAGCAACUCAAGAAAAGAUUACCGCCAUAUGUUGGUGUCAUAAUAGAGAGCACAGCUCAAGUGAAAGGCUUUGCUCUCUCCACUCACCAGCUGGAAAGUUCUCCUGCUGGCUUUUGUUUACUGACCAGGUACAAUGAGCCCUGAAGGUUUCAGUUCGCACUACCGGCAAGAGUAUGUGUGAUGGCCACGGGUUAUCCUUAGGAGGUCUGGGCUCCUGCACAGCCCCAGUGCAUGCUCAGUGUGUACACAUGUGUAGGGCUCCUUAUCUGAAACUAACCCUGUGCUUGUCUUUGUUGCUGCCAAGAUCCAGAUGGAUCCAGUGUGUUUCCAACACUGCCUGUGCAUCAUCUUCAAGCUACACUAAUUGUGAUUACACAGCAAGGAUAAGGGAGAUUAUUUUUGAGUUUCUGUCAGAAUUACUUUUAUCCCAGAGUAGUUAAAAUAAAACCAGUCCAACGGUUCCUGUCUUACUAUGUUUGAGUUUGAACUAAAGUUUGGAUCUCAUACCACUGUAAAAGUUUACUCUGCUUCCACACACUGAGAUGACCCAUCUUACCUAUUUGAACUUUGCACUCUCCCCUCUCCAAUGCACUUGCAAACUCCUAACCACAAUGUCAGUAGCAAAAAAAAAAAAAAAAAACAAAACAAAACCAAAGUGUGUUUACAGAUUUUAAAGUUUUGGUUAUUAAAAGUGGUAGAUGCCCUAUCCCUAGAAACAUUUGGCCAGACUGGACAGGUCUCCAAGCAACCUGAUUUGAUGGAGGUGCUCAUGGCAGAGCAGUUAGACUGGAUAAGAAUUAAAGGUCUCUUCUGGAAAUCUACAUUGCUAACGGGACUGGACCCAAAUAUCUCAAAUUCUCAACAGAACCGUGAAUAUUCUCUUGCUAUGUACACUUAGGUGUGGGGGAGGGUGGUCCAAUAGGCAGGUACAACUACUGCAGAAGUGGUUAGAAACACUCUGAAAACAUGUGGGAUGAUUUGAUUUUGUAGAAGGAUUAGAGGAAUAUUGACAAGUCCUAAGGCACGAUACCCAUGAAACGUUUAGAGAGGAAGCAUUCUUAUACCUUUCCUAUAUGCCAUUUCUUUUCAGUGUGUUUAUCCAAUUUAGAUCUAUUUUUCAGGACACACAUCUGAACUGUAUUGCAACUCUGUUGUACUAUAUUUUCUUUUUCUCAUAUACUGCAAAGGGAUUUAAGGUGUAGGGGGAAGUACGUAGUAAAUAUGAAAUAGUACUGCAGCUAGUAAUUUACUAAUCCCCAACUCCAAACAUGUAUAUAGAAACAGCCCAGAUAAACAAAUUGUAAGAACAGUAAAUAAUUAAGCACAACUGUUUUUGUAAGCUUUCCCAUGGCUUCCCUUUAUAAUGCCAGUUUCUAUGCAUUAAUAAAUUAGUAAUUCUUCCCCUUUAUAAAAUUUUAAAUCCAUUUGUUUGUUGACCAGAAAAAAGUUUAGAUUCUUCCUCCAAAAUGAAAAGUCAUUUUUGGGUAAGUGGGAAACAAUGCAUUUUAUGAAUUUUCAGUCAUUACUGAGAUCUUCUCUCCUAGAACAUGCAUUUAGUUUCUGGGCAUGAAAAUAUGUAAUAGAUAUAAAAUAAUGUAUAUAACAGAUACAAUAUAUAAUUACAACAAUUAAUAAAUUGAACCAUUGAAAUCCACAAGACAAACCCACAAGUAACAGAUGAGAUACAGGAAGCCUGUUCAUUUAUUUCAAAAUUGGAGAUUCUGUAAAAUAAAUUGGAGCUAUUCACUAGUAAAUACUAUUCUUAUUACAGCAUAACAGUUUCUAAAAACAUUUUGUUUACCAGCUAUACAGAAGAAUUUAGUUCUUUCUCACAAAAAUUAGCUUUGAUCAACUAGUGCAAACAUCCAGUACAAGCCCCUGACUGAAAGUAUUCAGAAUAAAUGUAUUUGAAAGUACAUGAAAAUGCAUUUCCUUCAGUAUAUCUGGACACCACUCAAGUCCUCCCAGCAUUUGUUCUCAUUUUAAAAAAUGAUCAUUUCUCACCACUUGCCAAAGAGAAACAUGUAUUUUAAAUAUUACAUUCCUUACUUAGAAAUUAUUUAUUUAGGAGAAGUCCCUCAUUAACUCUUUAGCCAUCUAGCACUUUACAGUUUAAGCUAGAGAACUUUAACAAGAAAGGUAAAACAGUUUGUUCAGCUUUUUACACAGCAGUAUACAACAGCACAAGGUGGUAUGCCUACUAAAAUGUUUUCUGCAAGACAAAAGUACAAGUUGAAUUUUUCAUUACAGUAAAAAAUACUUAUUUUACUUGUGUAACUUAUUUGGCAUUAAACUGUGACUGCAUUGUUUCUCUCAUGAACUCAGCAGCAUAAAUGUUGGAAGUUACUUGAUUCACCUCAGACCAGUCAUUUUGAAAUAAACGAGUGAUUUUCUGUUACAGCCUUAGUAAUGGCCAUGGACCAAUAACCCCUCUGUACAAACUAGUCCUUGGACACAUCAAAUGCAUUAUGUGAAUCAAAGAGAUUCCAGGAAGGCCCAGUGAAAUUAAGGAAACUAUUUAUUUGGGGAAUAAGAUAUUACCUGGCCUUAACACAGCAGUGAUGACCAGGAACUAGCCUUUCUUGGAAUGGUAGGUUAUAGUAUUUCUUACUAAGGUAAAAUCAUUUUUAUUGGUCCUUCUAACCUUUUCAUGAAGAAAAAAAUAUAUUCAUCACUCAGGGGCCAAUUUUAUGUUCCAGAGACACAAACUUAAGACAUAUCUCUCCACUAUGGGGAGAAAUAACAUGGGUCUCAUUUUCCAGUAUCAGCAGUAGCAGCUGCUUGGAAAGGAAUUGUUAAAUGUGCCACUGAUGGGGAAGGAGGUUUUCCAUGUCUUACAUUUAGUGGAGGAGAGAAAUACUUUGAUGUUUCACAAUUUCAGUUAAGAUAACUCUGAAAUUACUAUGGCACUUGAAAAAAUAAGGAUUAAUUUUUCACCCUUUGUGAGCUCUGGAGUUGUGUGAAGCUAUGGACAGAGCAAGUGAGCUACUCCACAGAGAACAUGACUUUUCCAUAUAAAUUAAUGUGCAUGUAUCCCAUUCUCCUGCAUGAAUGGCUUAAUAAUCUUAGGCUAGUAUGGGUGGGGACAAGCCAUACUGUGUGUCCUGUUUAUAUACAAACCUGGAACAUGAACAAUGGUAGGUUGGGCAGCUGUAAAAUAGUGUUAUCUAUGGUGUACCAGGGGAAGUUAUUUACCUGACAAAAACCUGCACAAUGCAGAAACACAAAGGAUUUUGGGGUUUUUACCUCCAUUCAGAUCUACCUAUUAGCUCAAUGGAAACAGCAGGCAACCGAUUUUCAGGGUAUGAGCUUUCAGCUGUAGCAGUUUGGGAACUUCCAUGGCCAUACCCCAGCCUGGAACCUCAUCCUUGUUUUCCAGUUAUUUGUUCCCUGCUGCUGUUCUCUUGAUUGAAGAUGGAAGUAGAUGUUAUCUUCCUCUCUUUGGAGGGUUGAUUCUGCAGAAUUUAGGUAAACAAAUGCUCUGUGUAAAAUGGAGGUAACUGAAGUGAGUGGUGUAUGGUUGGUGUACAUUGGAUUUGCAUGGGCAUUGCAUAGGCUUCAGUGACUUCCUGGCCUAUGGAGUUGAUGUUGAUUUAAGUGCCCUCAGGGCCAGAUCUUGUAGUGUGUGCUUAGCACACAGAUGUGUUGCACUGACUUCCACAGAAGUAGAGGAACUGAACACAUCACUGGAUGCAUUCACGUUUGUGCUUGGCAAGAAGGGACUCCCAAGUAUUUAAAGCUAGCAUAAGUGAUAAUGCACAAUUAUAAUUAUUAUUGUGUUAGAUGGCUGAAUGUGAUUCCACAUACAUUGGCCAAAUUAAUCUCCUAAACUCGAAUUCUUUGAGGAUUAGUGUAGAGAACCCUAAAAACCUCCACUGGGUAUGGCAUAGUACCCUUGUAAACUCAGUGGAGCACUACUUGAAUAAAGAAGCUACAGUCAUAUUGAACAGGAGUAAACAGAGAGUGUCCAGAAAAUAUACGGGAUUUAAGUGUGUUUAGACGCCAAAUAUCAAAAUGUAGAAAUUUCAGCCCCAGGAAGUUUUAAUGGAAGAAAGUAGCUCAAUCACUCAGUAUAUUAUGCAACUUUAGCUGAAAGUUUAACAUCACAAAAUGACAUAUUGCUAUGCAGCUUUAAGAAUCACACAAAUGUAUGCAAUCAUUUCCCUGCUGUUCAGAUCUGCUGUUCAUUAAAAGCUCUUCUCCUGUUUGCAGUUUCCAGUUUUCAAAUGGAUGACACAACCAAUGCAUAGCUUAAUGUUCAUUCUCAUGAGUCAUAAUUAAUAAAUAAUCGUAUCACAUACAUAGAAUUUUACAGGUACUCUUAAAAUGGUUUUACAAUUCUAUUAAAUAUAUAGAUAAAAUAAUCACUGCUAUAUAAAAAAAAUCAUUUUAAAACAGCUGAACUCUCAAGCUUUGCAUAAAAUUCUGUAGACACAUUCAUUACAUUCUAGAAACUCAAUAAAAAUACAUUUUAGAGCUCAAUCUCUCAAAAAUAUUCAUGGCAUUGAAAAUUGAUUGUCAUUUUUUUACUGUAGUCUGUGUUUGCCCUGCAUUUGCACUGAUAAUUUCCUACAAUUUGGCAAAAGCUAUAUUCUGGUCAGUUUGUAGAUUAUGUGACUGUUUAACUCACUUCUUCAACUCUUAAGUCAUCUGCCCCAUGAAUGUUUAGUGGGGUUCUGUCUUUAAUGGUGUAUCUUUCCUUGCACUUUCUGUAAAAUCGUAAUGAAACACUUUGCAGUUAAGUUACAUGGCUACAGU